rnacentral:lncRNA from 1 species
CUUUAUUGAUCCUUCGAUCUUGUGGAUACCCGUGCAGCUUGUAACACCUCUCCUCAGUGUGUCUUUGUCUCUUACAACAAUCACAAAAGGGCCGUGGCCUAUUUCCAAGGUGUCCUCCUCUGUAGUUAUUGUUUCCACCUCUAUCGCCUUGUUGAUUAAAGUUCACAUAUCCAGAAUUGUCUCCAACAUUUGUAGAUUGACCAAAGCUUGUCCUGAAAUUCUUUCCUCCUUAUUUAUUGACACUUAGGGCAAUAGAUUCCAUCACCAGUUGAUUAUUUGGCUUAACCUCUCUUUUGUUUUCUUCGUGGAUGAGUAUUGAGAAAGCAUGUGCAAGUGAGGGUAGUGGAUUCAUCAUCAAAAUGUCGCCACUAACCAUAGUAUAGACCUCGUUUAGUCCUACUAGGAAUUGAAUCAGCUUUUAUCUUGUUCUACCUUUUGCAUGUUGGCCUUAGCACCACAUGUGCAUUUGCAUUUGCAUUCAGCGUGUUUAAUUCCUCCCAAAGUUUCUUCAUCUUACUGUAGUACCCCGUGAUAUCCAGGGUUCCUUAACUCAAUUCAUUUUUCUCCCUUUGCAAUUGGUAUAAUUUAUCCCCAUUCGUCUGGUCAUAUCUAUCUUCAGGUUCCUUCCAAAGUUCCUGAGCAUCAUCAACGUACUACACGCUAUCCGCCAAAUCCUUCGAGAUAGAGUUCAGGAUCCAAGAUGUGACCAUAUUGUCACAACGUUCCCACAGUUCAUACAAGGGAUCCUGAGGCUGUAGUUUUGUACAUUUUCUAUUUUUGAACCCUACUUUGUUCUUCACUUAGAGAGCUCUUAGAAAACCUCGCCUCCAUGACCUAUAUCCCGAUCCGUAAAAACUUUUUGAUACUAGAACAGAUCUAGCACUUUCAGAUGGAUGCAUGUACAACGGACUAGUCGAAUCUGGAGCUACAUUCGUAGAUCCUGUCGUGUUCACCGUAUCGACCAUGAUUAUCGAUACUUGUAUCGAAGAAUCCAAAUUCUCACAGAAAGAGAUUGCUUUGAGAAACUAUGUUCGAAAUUGGGGAAAGAGAUGACUAGCUCAGCUAGAGAUUAAGAGACCUAUUCUGGUACUAUGUCAAAAUACUUGAGAAAAUGAAAAAGAACAACUCACCUUCAGCUGAGCUCUAAUGGCGGUUGAGAGAAGCCAUGUGAGAAGAAGUUUCCAGAAGAGAGAAAGAUAUUUUCUAUUACAAAA